GGUUUAUGUGUCUUAACAAAAGAACAAAACUUGAUGUUAGAUCUUAUUGAUAAGAUAGAAAGUAAAGAAGAAAAAAGAGAAAAGCUAGAAGAAUACUUGAAUCUGGUAAAGGAUAAAAGUCCUUUAGAAAAGAAAAUAGAAGAAAAACAAAGCACGUAUGAUCUUAAAGAGAUCAUGGAAAAGAUUAAAAGGGCCAAAAUGCCAAGAGAACCUACGGUAAAAGAAUUAAGGCAAGAAAUU
rnacentral:misc_RNA from 1 species